rnacentral:rRNA from 1 species
UGGGGAAUAUUGGACAAUGGGCGAAAGCCUGAUCCAGCCAUGCCGCGUGUGUGAAGAAGGUCUUCGGAUUGUAAAGCACUUUAAGUUGGGAGGAAGGGUUGUAGAUUAAUACUCUGCAAUUUUGACGUUACCGACAGAAUAAGCACCGGCUAACUCUGUGCCAGCAGCCGCGGUAAUACAGAGGGUGCAAGCGUUAAUCGGAAUUACUGGGCGUAAAGCGCGCGUAGGUGGUUUGUUAAGUUGGAUGUGAAAUCCCCGGGCUCAACCUGGGAACUGCAUUCAAAACUGACAAGCUAGAGUAUGGUAGAGGGUGGUGGAAUUUCCUGUGUAGCGGUGAAAUGCGUAGAUAUAGGAAGGAACACCAGUGGCGAAGGCGACCACCUGGACUGAUACUGACACUGAGGUGCGAAAGCGUGGGGAGCAAACAGGAUUAGAUACCCUAGUAGUCCCUGAGCGGGCUGGCAAGGCGCAU